UACAGAGGUGGCAAGCGUUAAUCGGAAUUACGUGGCGUAAAGCGUGCGUAGACGGUUACAUAAGUCGGUGUGAAGCCCGGGCUCAAACCUGGGAAUUGCAUUCGAGACUGCGUAGCUAGGGUGCGGAAGAGGGAAGCGGAAUUUCCGGUGUAGCGGUGAAAUGCGUAGAUAUCAGGAGGAACACCGGUGGCGAAGGCGGCAUCCUGGACCGGCAUUGACGCUGAGGCGCGAAAGCCAGGGGAGGCAAACGGG
rnacentral:rRNA from 1 species